ACCCGGAAUCCGCCAGACCCACGGCAGAGACGGGGGACCCAGAGUCUCCGGGCCCACUUCAGGCCCUUGGGGUGAAGCCGCCACGCGCGGCCGGACGGCCUCGUCCGAACCCGACAGCUAACCUCGAAGGCGUUGAGAGGCAAUCA
rnacentral:sRNA from 2 species